rnacentral:rRNA from 1 species
GGGGGGAAAACAGGGCGGCGUCCAAUACAUGCGAGUUGCAGCGCUGAAGGUUGCUAGCUUGUACCGACUGGAUCAGCAGCGAACGGGAUGAGUACACCGCGUGAAGAAGCCCCCUUUGAGCGGGAGGAAAACAUGUUGGAAACGAAUGCUAAUACCGCAUAAAAAUCUUCAAACACAAGUUUUAAGUUUGAAAGAUGCAAUUGCAUCACUCAAAGAUGAUCGCCGCGUUGUAUAACCUAGUUGGUGGAGGUAAAGGCUCACCAAGGCGAUGAUACCAUAGCCGACCCUGAGAGGGUGAUCGGCCACAUUGGGACUGAGACACGCCCCAAACUCAUACGGGAGGCAGCAGUAGGGAAUCUUCGUGCAAGGGACGAAAAUCUGAACCGACCAACGCCGCGAGAGUGAAGAGAACGGUUCUCGGAUCGUAAAACUCUGUUUGGUAGAAAAGAACGUUGGUGAGAGUGAAAAGCUCAUCAAGUGACGGUCAACUACCCAGAAAGACGACGGCUAACUACGUGCCCAGCAGCCGCGGUUAAUACGUAGGGCCCGAACCUUUGUCCGGAUUUAUUGGGAGUAAAGCGAAGCGCAGGUGGUUUAUUAAGUCUGGUGUAAAAGGCAGUGGCUCAACCAUUGUAUGCAUUGGAAACUGGUAGACUUGAGUGCAGGAGAGGAGAGUGGAAUUCCAUGUGUAGCGGUGAAAUGCGUAGAUAUAUGGAGGAACACCGGUGGCGAAAGCGGCUCUCUGGCCUGUAACUGACACUGAGGCUCGAAAGCGUGGGGAGCAAACAGGAUUAGAUACCCUGGUAGUCCACCGCCGUAAACGAUGAGUGCUAGAUGUAAGGAGCUAUAAGUUCUCUGUAUCGCAGCUAACGCAAUAAGCACUCCGCCUGGGGAGUACGACCGCAAGGUUGAAACUCAAAGGAAUUGACUGGGGGCCCGCACAAGCGGUGGAGCAUGUGGUUUAAUUCGAUGCAACGCGAAGACCUUACCAGUCUGACAUACUCGUGCUUAUUCUAAAGAUAGAGUUCUUCGGACCGGAUACAGUGGUGCAUG